CAGCCACUUCGAGAAGUGCCAGCAGCUCCUGAACUCCAUAUCUGGAUCCCUUAGCACCAAGGCUAUGACAGUGGAAGGGCAGAAGCGGAAGUUGGAGGAGACUGAGCAAAUGUUAAACCAGAGAAGGGAUCUGAUGAACAAAUACCAAAACUCCAUCGAAAAGCUCGUGAAGUCGAAACCGUGAAUUGAUGUUACCUUUCUCUCGCUAGUAAGCAUUUUUUUUCCUCUCUCUCUUAAGUUUAAUACUCUGCUGAAUUGUUUCGUAGUUUAGUUUAGUUUUUACUACGGAGUUUGAAGAGCAUUUUCCUGUUGAAUAAUGUGUUUAACAUCGCCCGGAGAGAGGUCUAUUUGAUAAUUACAAGUGGGAUGCCAAUUAAUACUUGUAUGUAUUUGUUGGUAAUC